GCAAUAACUUCACAGCAAGGUUAUGGAGAAGCAGAUGGACUGCGAAGGAGACAAACCCUUUUGUCUAAACACAAAUCACAUUGAUAAUUAAUUAGCUGAAGCAGCAGGGGAAAAUUUGAAAAUGUGUGAAAGGUACAAUCCUGCUCAGCAUCACCAAAAUACACUGACAUUGUUUAACAAAGGUCUGUAAGCACUGCAAACCUUUCUGGACAUCAAUAUUAAUGUUCCCAGCUCCUGGCAGCGGGCUGGUAGAGGUGGCAUUUCAUAAUUCAGAUGUAGAAAUUAAAAGCCAAGUGCUAGAGGGAGUACAUGGUAGCAAAAUACAUCCAGGCUCCUGAUUGAAGACCCUUCAGAAAUCAUGCCUUUCCUCACCAACCCUGAGCAAAACAAAAGCAGGACCAACAGAGAGCUGCUCAUAUCACUGAAAUGUUAAAUGACUGA